rnacentral:rRNA from 1 species
CUUGACGACCAUAGAGCGCUGGAACCACCUGACCCCAUCCCGAACUCAGCAGUGAAACAGCGCAUCGCCGAUGGUAGUGUGGGGUAUCCCCAUGUGAGAGUAGGUCAUCGUCAAGC